ensembl:lncRNA
GAACAAAGGCAAUCAUGUCGGGAGCGCGGGGCCGGGUCAGGGGCCGCUGCCGCAGGACAGUAGUUUAAGGUGAGUUUGUGAGGAGACGCUUCAAAGUUCCCGACCCACCGGCAAACGCUCGGGAGGCCAUUUAACCCUCCCUCUUGCUCAUUGUGUGCUUUUCAUCCCGCCUCAGAUCAUUUAACUCCGCGGAGCUGCUUUCUCUCUGCGGCACAGCGGCAACGGAUCGUCCAUUAUUUAUGACGUGAAGCAGCUCAGCGAUUGAAAGAAGCAGAGGAGCUCAGGAACUUACUUUUCAAUCACCAACUGGAGCUCAGACUUCUUGGACCGGUUGUUAGCAUUUUGCUAGCCUAGCAGACAGCUAGCAGCUACAGCCGCCUGUGUCAAAGAGGCCACGCCCCUAACAAUACAAACUUCCAGCCUUACACAAUUUAAACAGCCUGACGCAAACUAACGUCCAUGACCACAUGCGAAGCCAGCAUUUCCGUCUUGCCCUCCUGACGUCCAGCCUUCCUGGGCUUCAGUGAGAGAAGCGCAGACCUGAGGUCUCAGAGCUGCGCGGAGCCCUGCAGCCUCCCAGAUUUAUUUCAGCCGAGCAGCUCGGGGCGGUGCCGCCGGCGUUACGAUGACCCCAUACAUCACGCCUCGUGUGAGCACAUAUUAAGUGCUUUUCUCAUCAUCCCCCCCGCCCAUUAAAAGUAAAUAAUCCGUUAAGGAGCGGUCCAAUUCCUCAUACGUGACAGGUAUCUGUUUGUACAGAGCCAGGAAGGUGUGCGAGGAGAGUGAGGAGGAGGAGGAGCGCUGGCGUGAGAGGACUCUGAUUACCUCGCUGUAGCUGCUAAAGUCAGAUGUACGCCCGCUGUGUGACCCCGGCGUUUACAUAAAGCUGCAAAGAAUGGAAGCGUAUGAGAAGUUAGAUUCACUGCCGCUGUGAGCGCACAGGAAAAAAGGUAGACGCUCGGCGUUCACUUCAUUAACGCACAUUUCCUAAUGAGCGCGAGCUCAGGGAAACCAAUCAGUAAUUAAGUCCCGCC